rnacentral:rRNA from 1 species
AUAAUCGUCGGAAACGGCGUCUAAUACCCCGUAUGAAGCUGGACGGCAUCGUCUGGUUUUGAAAGAAUAUCGGAGACGGAUGGGCAUGCGGCGCAUUAGCUAGUUGGCGGGGUAACGGCCCACCAAGGCGACGAUGCGUAGGGGUUCUGAGAGGAAGGUCCCCCACACUGGUACUGAGACACGGACCAGACUCCUACGGGAGGCAGCAGUGAGGAAUAUUGGUCAAUGGGCGAGAGCCUGAACCAGCCAAGUCGCGUGAGGGAGUACUGCCCUAUGGGUUGUAAACCUCUUUUGUCGGGGAGCAAAAGCCGGACGUGUCCGUCUGUGAGAGUACCCGAAGAAAAAGCAUCGGCUAACUCCGUGCCAGCAGCCGCGGUAAUACGGAGGAUGCGAGCGUUAUCCGGAUUUAUUGGGUUUAAAGGGUGCGCAGGCGGAUUUUUAAGUCAGCGGUCAAAUCGUGGGGCUCAACCCCAUCCAGCCGUUGAAACUGGGGAUCUAGAGUGUGCGAGAGGUAUGCGGAAUGCGUGGUGUAGCGGUGAAAUGCAUAGAUAUCACGCAGAACCCCGAUUGCGAAGGCAGCAUACCGGUGCACAACUGACGCUCAGGCACGAAAGCGUGGGUAUCGAACAGGAUUCGAUACCCUGGUAGUCCACGCAGUAAACGAUGAAUGCUACCUGUUUGGCCAGAUUGAAGGCUGAGCG